ACGCUCUCGUUGCUAUGGUGAUCCCUUGUGCAAAGUGCGUGCGGAACUCCUUCCAAAGUCAGUCCAGCCCACAUCCCGCCCCCAGAGUCUGGAUUCGUCGAACGCCCCCGCGGUCCCUUGUGGCCACGUUGCCGUGGUGAUUCUGCACCGCUCUACAGCGCUAGGCCGCGCGGAGCCUUCGAGCCUUCGCUGGCGUGGACACUGGUAAAAUGAGAUCCUCCCUGAUGCCUUUGGGGCCACCUGUGAGCCGGGACCGCAUCAUUGACACCUUUCCUAAGUGGUACACGCCUGACGCCUCCCUGCAGCUGAAGGAGCACUUCCACGGGCAGGUCAGCGCAGCUUGCGAGCGCAGGAACACCGGGACUGUUGGGCUCAAGCUGUCCAAGGUGGUGGUUGUCGGCGAUCUCUAUGUGGGGAAGACCAGUCUCAUCCACAGGUUUUGCAAGAAUAUUUUUGAUCGGGACUACAAGGCCACUAUUGGAGUUGACUUUGAAAUUGAGCGCUUUGAGAUUGCUGGGAUUCCGUACAGCCUCCAGAUCUGGGACACAGCCGGGCAGGAGAAGUUCAAGUGCAUCGCAUCUGCCUACUACCGGGGUGCGCAGGUGAUCAUCACGGCCUUUGACCUCACUGAUGUGCAGACGCUAGAGCACACCAGGCAAUGGCUGGAGGAUGCAUUAAGGGAGAAUGAGGUGGGAUCCUGCUUUAUCUUCCUCGUGGGAACCAAAAAGGACCUUCUGUCAGGGGCAGCAUGUGAGCAGGCAGAAGCAGAGGCUGUGCACCUGGCCAAUGAGAUGCAGGCUGAGUACUGGUCAGUGUCAGCCAAGACAGCUGUCCCCUGGGUCCCCAGGAGAGAAUGUAAAGGCAUUCUUCAGUCGUGUUGCUGCCCUGGCAUUUGAGCAGUCAGUAUUGCAGGAGCUGGAGAAGAGGAACAGUGCACGGCCCCAGGUCGGCGAUGGAAACCUCAUCCGAAUGGAGGAAAAUUCACCCGAGACCCAGGACAGCAAGAGGCCCUUUAGCCUAGGCUGCUGUUAGCUGGGCUGGCACAGAUGCCCCCCCCCACUUCCUGUACAUGCAUGAGCAUAGGCUUCUGUGACCUCGGAGGGGUAACGUGGAGCCUGUCUCCCACAAGGUGUGGAGGGCCUGUGUGUCCGGGGCUUAGCUGUCGGAUGCUGAUGCAUCCUACACUGCCUGCUUGGGGACCCAUACAGCCUGGCUAGUGGGAACACUGCAGUGAGGACCCACCUGCAGGGUCAUCAUUCAGUCCCCCAUGGCCUUGAAAGACCUCAGGACUGUGAACUCAGGACACUUCUGCCAUGGCCCAUGUCCCUCACCAUGGCACUGUUUCCCAGAAAUCCUAGAUGUGGCUCCGGAAUCCUUCUCAUCACAGUGUUCCGGGCAACCAGGACUUAUCAAAAUUGGCCAGUGAGAACAGCCCUUCUGUUGUCUCCCCUGGGAUUUUCUGUUAUCAACAGGACACGUGGUUCUGCAUCUGAGAACUUGAGGUCUCCUGUCCACUGCCCCUCUGUCACAGACUCCCAGGUUCCCUGGGCAUCCCUGCCUCUCUCAAAGGCAAUGGACAAGAGGGUCUCUUGCAUCUCUGAGACCCCCAUGGUGUUGCCUUCCAGAUCAGUGGGUCAGGAAGGGCUCAGCAAGUCGCUUGCGCCCCUGAUCCAUCUGAAGGAUGUGUUAUCCUGGCCGUACUGUGAGGUGAAGACUGUACCUCGCUCCUUGGGUGCAUCACUGUACAUCCAUUUACCUUGGCACUGCCCUGUGGACCCAUACCCUUGUGUGCUGUUGC